AGCGAACGCUGGCGGCAGGCCUAACACAUGCAAGUCGAACGGAGCCUUCGGGAUUAGUGGCGGACGGGUGAGUAACACGUGGGAACGUGCCCUUUGGUUCGGAACAACUCAGGGAAACUUGAGCUAAUACCGGAUGUGCCCUUCGGGGGAAAGAUUUAUCGCCAUUGGAGCGGCCCGCGUCUGAUUAGCUAGUUGGUGAGGUAACGGCCCACCAAGGCGACGAUCAGUAGCUGGUCUGAGAGGAUGAUCAGCCACACUGGGACUGAGACACGGCCCAGACUCCUACGGGAGGCAGCAGUGGGGAAUCUUGCGCAAUGGGCGAAAGCCUGACGCAGCCAUGCCGCGUGAAUGAUGAAGGUCUUAGGAUUGUAAAAUUCUUUCAGCGGGGACGAUAAUGACGGUACCCGCAGAAGAAGCUCCGGCUAACUUCGUG
rnacentral:rRNA from 1 species